UACGAAGGGGGCUAGCGUUGCUCGGAAUCACUGGGCGUAAAGCGCACGUAGGCGGACUCUUAAGUCGGUGGUGAAAUCCUGGAGCUCAACUCCAGAACUGCCUUUGAUACUGAUGAGCUUGAGUUCGGGAGAGGUGAGUGGAACUGCGAGUGUAGAGGUGAAAUUCGUAGAUAUUCGCAAGAACACCAGUGGCGAAGGCGGCUCACUGGCCCGAUACUGACGCUGAGGUGCGAAAGCGUGGGGAGCAAACAGG
rnacentral:rRNA from 1 species